rnacentral:rRNA from 1 species
GGCGGCCUUUAAGUCAGCGGUGAAAGUCUGUGGCUCAACCAUAGAAUUGCCGUUGAAACUGGGGGGCUUGAGUAUGUUGAGGGCAGGCGGAAUGCGUGGUGUAGCGGUGAAAUGCAUAGAUAUCACGCAGAACCCCGAUUGCGAAGGCAGCCUGCCAAGCCAUUACUGACGCUGAUGCACGAAAGCGUGGGGAUCAAACAGGAUUAGAUACCCUGGUAGUCCACGCAGUAAACGAUGAUCACUAGCUGUUUGCGAUACACUGUAAGCGGCACAGCGAAAGCGUUAAGUGAUCCACCUGGGGAGUACGCCGGCAACGGUGAAACUCAAAGGAAUUGACGGGGGCCCGCACAAGCGGAGGAACAUGUGGUUUAAUUCGAUGAUACGCGAGGAACCUUACCCGGGUUUGAACGCAUUCGGACCGAGGUGGAAACACCUUUUCUAGCAAUAGCCGUUUGCGAGGUGCUGCAUGGUUGUCGUCAGCUCGUGCCGUGAGGUGUCGGCUUAAGUGCCAUAACGAGCGCAACCCUUGCCACUAGUUACUAACAGGUAAAGCUGAGGACUCUGGUGGGACUGCCAGCGUAAGCUGCGAGGAAGGCGGGGAUGACGUCAAAUCAGCACGGCCCUUACAUCCGGGGCGACACACGUGUUACAAUGGCGUGGACAAAGGGAAGCCACCUGGCGACAGGGAGCGAAUCCCCAAACCACGUCUCAGUUCGGAUCGGAGUCUGCAACCCGACUCCGUGAAGCUGGAUUCGCUAGUAAUCGCGCAUCAGCCAUGGCGCGGUGAAUACGUUCCCGGGCCUUGUACACACCGCCCGUCAAGCCAUGGGAGCCGGGGGUACCUGAAGUCCGUAACCGCGAGGAUCGGCCUAGGGUAAAACUGGUGAC